rnacentral:lncRNA from 1 species
GCGGAUGUCGUCCCCUUGGAUCGCUUCAAGAAUGUCAGUGGCGGUGAUCGAGUCAUCAACAUCACGUAUCAGAAAGUCGGUUUGCACACAGUCUGCUGCCAGGCGGCCCGUCACUGGCAUUGACCCUAAUGUCUUUAUUUGAAGGAUUUCUUUCGCACAUUCAUAGUUGUCAGUUUUUAGAAGAAGAAAACCCUCCUUAGUAUAGCGAACGUCUGUUAAGUGCGGGUGUGACGUUAGAGCUUGUCGGAGGAGAGAAGAUAGCUCGCUCGGCUUGACUUUAGGUAUGUGGGACGAAUUUGGUCCGGAUAAGAAGAUGGCAAUCGGUCGGGGAGUAAACUUCUCCCGACAGAAUUCGAGUUUUUCUAUGUCAGUCCAAGCGGCCAGGGCUCUAUCCACUGGCCAGUCCUCCAACGUCCCUGGGGGUUGGUGGCCCACCCCUGCCAUAGGGCUCGGCGAAGGUAGGGAACCCAACGUGUCGCUUCAGAAGUGCCGUACAAGUCCGAAACUAGAACCCCAAAAGCUUACUCACCUCAAAGGCACUCGGAAAGAAAUAAAUAUCGUCAACUGCUGGAGUGGCUGUUAAUUCACUUCCACUCUAUAAUUUUAUUCCUUAGGAGAAUCCCUUAACAGCUCGGUUGAGAACGAAUGACUACU